rnacentral:rRNA from 1 species
UUCGGAUGCUGACGAGUGGCGAACGAGUGAGUAAUACAUCGGAACGUGCCCGAGAGUGGGGGAUAACGAAGCGAAAGCUUUGCUAAUACCGCAUACGAUCUCAGGAUGAAAGCAGGGGACCGCAAGGCCUUGCGCUCACGGAGCGGCCGAUGGCAGAUUAGGUAGUUGGUGGGAUAAAAGCUUACCAAGCCGACGAUCUGUAGCUGGUCUGAGAGGACGACCAGCCACACUGGGACUGAGACACGGCCCAGACUCCUACGGGAGGCAGCAGUGGGGAAUUUUGGACAAUGGGCGCAAGCCUGAUCCAGCCAUGCCGCGUGCAGGAUGAAGGCCUUCGGGUUGUAAACUGCUUUUGUACGGAACGAAAAGACUCUGGUUAAUACCUGGGGUCCAUGACGGUACCGUAAGAAUAAGCACCGGCUAACUACGUGCCAGCAGCCGCGGUAAUACGUAGGGUGCGAGCGUUAAUCGGAAUUACUGGGCGUAAAGCGUGCGCAGGCGGUUAUGUAAGACAGAUGUGAAAUCCCCGGGCUCAACCUGGGAACUGCAUUUGUGACUGCAUAGCUAGAGUACGGCAGAGGGGGAUGGAAUUCCGCGUGUAGCAGUGAAAUGCGUAGAUAUGCGGAGGAACACCGAUGGCGAAGG